UACGUAGGGGGCAAGCGUUGUCCGGAAUUAUUGGGCGUAAAGCGCGUGUAGGCGGUCCGGUAAGUCGGUUGUGAAAGUCCAGGGCUCAACCCUGGGAUGCCGAUCGAUACUGCCGGACUAGAGUCCGGAAGAGGCGAGUGGAAUUCCGAGUGUAGAGGUGAAAUUCGUAGAUAUUCGGAGGAACACCAAUGGCGAAAGCAGUUUGCUGGACUAGUAUUGACACUGAGGCACGAAAGCGUGGGGAGCAAACAGG
rnacentral:rRNA from 1 species